rnacentral:rRNA from 1 species
AACAGGAUUAGAUACCCUGGUAGUCCAUGCCGUAAACGGUGGGCGCUAGGUGUGAGUCCCUUCCACGGGGUUCGUGCCGUAGCUAACGCAUUAAGCGCCCCGCCUGGGGAGUACGGCCGCAAGGCUAAAACUCAAAGGAAUUGACGGGGGCCCGCACAAGCGGCGGAGCAUGUGGAUUAAUUCGAUGCAACGCGAAGAACCUUACCUGGGCUUGACAUACACCGGAUCGGGCUAGAGAUAGUCUUUCCCUUGUGGCUGGUGUACAGGUGGUGCAUGGUUGUCGUCAGCUCGUGUCGUGAGAUGUUGGGUUAAGUCCCGCAACGAGCGCAACCCUUGUCUUAUGUUGCCAGCACGUGAUGGUGGGGACUCAUGAGAGACUGCCGGGGUUAACUCGGAGGAAGGUGGGGAUGACGUCAAAUCAUCAUGCCCCUUAUGUCCAGGGCUUCACACAUGCUACAAUGGUCGGUACAACGCGUGUGCGACACUGUGAGGUGAAGCUAAUCGCUCUAAAGCCGGUCGUAGUUCGGAUUGGGGUCUGCAACUCGACCCCAUGAAGUCGGAGUCGCUAGUAAUCGCAGAUCAGCAACGCUGCGGUGAAUACGUUCCCGGGCCUUGUACACACCGCCCGUCACGUCAUGAAAGUUGGUAACACCCGAAGCCAGUGGCCUAAACUUGUUAGGGAGCUGUCGAAGGUGGGAUCGGCGAUUGGGACGAAGUCGUAACAAGGUAACC